UACGAAGGGGGCUAGCGUUGCUCGGAUUGACUGGGCGUAAAGGGCGCGUAGGCGGUUCGUACAGUCAGACGUGAAAUUCCUGGGCUCAACCUGGGGGCUGCGUUUGAUACGUGCGGACUUGAGUGCGGAAGAGGGUCGUGGAAUUCCCAGUGUAGAGGUGAAAUUCGUAGAUAUUGGGAAGAACACCGGUGGCGAAGGCGGCGACCUGGUCCGAUACUGACACUGAGAAGCGAAAGCGUGGGGAGCGAACAGG
rnacentral:rRNA from 1 species